rnacentral:rRNA from 1 species
UGGGUAGGGUACCCUAAAAGUCGGACUAAACCGUAAGGAGUCNCCUAGGUAAAACUAGUAACUGGGGCU